UACGUAGGGGGCAAGCGUUGUCCGGAAUUAUUGGGCGUAAAGAGCUCGUAGGCGGCUUGUCGCGUCGAAUGUGAAAUCUCAGGGCUCAACCCUGACAUUGCAUUCGAUACGGGCAGGCUAGAGUUCGGUAGGGGAGACUGGAAUUCCUGGUGUAGCGGUGAAAUGCGCAGAUAUCAGGAGGAACACCGGUGGCGAAGGCGGGUCUCUGGGCCGAUACUGACGCUGAGGAGCGAAAGCGUGGGGAGCGAACAGG
rnacentral:rRNA from 1 species